AUGCCUUAGUAACGGCGAGUGAAGCGGCAAAAGCUCAAAUUUGAAAUCUGGUACCUUCGGUGCCCGAGUUGUAAUUUGGAGAGGGCAACUUUGGGGCCGUUCCUUGUCUAUGUUCCUUGGAACAGGACGUCAUAGAGGGUGAGAAUCCCGUGUGGCGAGGAGUGCGGUUCUUUGUAAAGUGCCUUCGAAGAGUCGAGUUGUUUGGGAAUGCAGCUCUAAGUGGGUGGUAAAUUCCAUCUAAAGCUAAAUAUUGGCGAGAGACCGAUAGCGAACAAGUACAGUGAUGGAAAGAUGAAAAGAACUUUGAAAAGAGAGUGAAAAAGUACGUGAAAUUGUUGAAAGGGAAGGGCAUUUGAUCAGACAUGGUGUUUUGUGCCCUCUGCUCCUUGUGGGUAGGGGAAUCUCGCAUUUCACUGGGCCAGCAUCAGUUUUGGUGGCAGGAUAAAUCCAUAGGAAUGUAGCUUGCCUCGGUAAGUAUUAUAGCCUGUGGGAAUACUGCCAGCUGGGACUGAGGACUGCGACGUAAGUCAAGGAUGCUGGCAUAAUGGUUAUAUGCCGCCCGUCUUGAAACACGGACCAAA
rnacentral:rRNA from 1 species